ensembl:snRNA U6 U6 spliceosomal RNA
GUGCUUGCUUUGAGAGCACAUAUACUAAAAUUAGAACAAUACAGAGAAGAUCAGCGUGGCCCCCUAUCAAAGAUAACCCAAAUUUGUGAGGUGUUCCAUAUUUAA